GACGAACGCUGGCGGCGUGCUUAACACAUGCAAGUCGAACGAAGUGGCGAACGGGUGAGUAACGCGUACUCAACCUGCCCUUCAGAGGGGGACAACAGUUGGAAACGACUGCUAAUACCGCAUACUGCAGGGGGGGGUUGAGUCGGAUUAGCGAGUUGGAGGGGUAACGGCCCACCAAGGCUCGGAUCAGUAGCCGGGCUGAGAGGAUGAACGGCCCAAUGGGGACUGAGACACGGCCCAGACUCCUACGGGAGGCAGCAGUGGGGAAUCUUCCGCAAUGGACGAAAGUCUGACGGAGCAACGCCGCGUGAGUGAUGACGGCCUUCGGGUUGUAAAGCUCUGUUAAUCGGGACGCGGUACCGGAAUAGAAAGCCAUGGCUAACUACGUGCCAGCAGCCGCGGUAAUAC
rnacentral:rRNA from 1 species